rfam:Clostridium sp. CAG:306 genomic scaffold, scf110
GCCGAUGUGGCGAAAUGGUAGACGCACACGCUUCAGGUGCGUGCGAGGAAACUCAUGGGGGUUCGAGUCCCUUCAUCGGCA